CACAAAUUAGAUCAUCGGUAGGUCAAGAUAGUUGAGUCUCCAAUUAGGAACUCUGAGUAGCUGUAAACUUGCAUUAAAAAAGGAUUCCAGUGGAAAAAUAUGUUGAUCCAACCAUGACUUCUACUGGCAAAUGCUACUUUAUCUAAAAUAUACAGAUUUCAGUGCUCAGAAAGUGCAAACAAUUUGUACAUUGAGAAAUCUAUCUUGGCAUUCAGUUUAUAACAUAACAAGGAAUGAGAGCUUUGACAAGCUUUUACACUUGGUCAGAUUUUGCAUGCAUGAUUUGUCAGAUUGUAAUGUCAUGAUUUGUCAAUGACUGAAUGUUUUCAGUAGGCUGAUGUACAAAACCUGAAAAAUAAAUUCAGUUAAAGCAGAAGUGCAGAGUGUAUGUAACAGAAAAUUCGGCUACAGAAGAAGCGCAGAGUGUAUGUAACAAAAAAUUCAGUUAUACUAAAACCUGAAUGUUUCCAAUAUGCUGCUGUACAGUGUAUAUGCAUAUUUUCAGACUAUCACUGAAAAUAUGCAGUGUAUGCAUAUUUGAAGAGUACUCAAAUGUUCCGAAAAUAAGAUGUGAGACCAAUGCAUAGAUAGUCCAAUGCCGAGACCAAUAAAAUUUAGCUAACACUGGACAGAGAUGUCUCCUUGCAACAAUCUCUACAGAAAAUUCUUGUACUCAUCUUAGCUCUUAGCUAACACUGGACGCUGGAGUAGUUUCAAUUUCUAAAAGAAUGGGGUGCAGUACAAGAACUAAGAAACCUCUGCACACCAUCCAGAAGCAUUUUUAAGUCUGCCGUCAUCAGUUUGUCGUCAUAGGAGUUUAUGUCUGCCGUCAUCAGUCUGCCGUCAUGGGAAAUGUCUUACUUGCUUACAAUGUCUUACUUUCGCUUGGAAGGCUAAGCUGUUGCUUCAUAGCAUCCAGAAGCACUUUUGUUGGGAUCCCGACUUUUCCCAUGAUGGCAGACUGAUGACAGAAAGUAAGACAUUGUAAGCAAGUGUUGGAAGCUUUACAACGUAUGAUUGUACAUGUGUCUGUAUAUCUAUCAAUUUUUGGUGACAAAAAACAUCGCUGAUAAAUAUCCGUGAUAGUGGUUGAAUUUGCAUUUUAUUUGUACAAACUUAAACUCAUAUGUUUUAGACAGGGCAUGUAUGCUAGUUAGGUAAGAUAUGUGUUAAAUUGUUCUUUGACGUUAGUUUUAGGAUGCCCAGUGUAGUUCAGUUGAUACAUGCAUAUAUGUGUUGUGUAGGUUUCCGGUUAACCCUUUUAUUCUAAUAACAGGUCAUCCACUUUAAAAGUAAUUUCCUUGGUAGCUUCAGUUCAGUUCUGUACAUACAUGAGUGUUUCUUCCUUCAAUUUACAUGAGAACAAAAUAAUCCAUGCAAAAAAAAACUGAGAACAAGAAGGUUUAGCUUGCUGCAAUUGUAGAUUAUAUAUGCAUGUACGUACUAUCUCUAAUGCACCAAGAAAAUAGCAUAUUAACAUGUAUGAGCAUGUACAAAUUGAUUAUUCACGUGUUGAUUAGGAAGCAUGCACACAAUAAGGACUAAUAACUCGAUCAAGGAAGG
rnacentral:lncRNA from 1 species